AUUGAACGCUGGCGGCAGGCCUAACACAUGCAAGUCGAACGAGUGGCGUACGGGUGAGUAAUGUCUGGGAAACUGCCCGAUGGAUGGGGAUAACUACUGGACACGGUAGCUAAUACCGCAUACCAUCGGAUGUGCCCGUAUGGGAUUAGCUAGUAGGUGGGGUAACGGCUCACCUAGGCGACGAUCCCUAGCUGGUCUGAGAGGAUGACCAGCAACACGGGAACUGAGACACGGUCCAGACUCCUACGGGAGGCAGCAGUGGGGAAUAGUGCACAAUGGGCGAAAGCCUGAUGCAGCCAUGCCGCGUGUAUGAAGAAGGCCUUCGGGUUGUAAAGUACUUUCAGCGAGGAGGCGUUACUCGCAGAAGAAGCACCGGCUAACUCCGUGCCAGCAGCCGCGGUAAUUC
rnacentral:rRNA from 1 species